GUCGAACGAGACCUUCGGGUCUAGUGGCGCACGGGUGCGUAACGCGUGGGAAUCUGCCCUUGGGUUCGGAAUAACAGUUGGAAACGACUGCUAAUACCGGAUGAUGACGUAAGUCUAAAGAUUUAUCGCCCAGGGAUGAGCCCGCGUAGGAUUAGCUAGUUGGUGAGGUAAAGGCUCACCAAGGCGACGAUCCUUAGCUGGUCUGAGAGGAUGAUCAGCCACACUGGGACUGAGACACGGCCCAGACUCCUACGGGAGGCAGCAGUGGGGAAUAUUGGACAAUGGGCGAAAGCCUGAUCCAGCAAUGCCGCGUGAGUGAUGAAGGCCUUAGGGUUGUAAAGCUCUUUUACCCGGGAUGAUAAUGACAGUACCGGGAGAAUAAGCUCCGGCUAACUCCGUGCCAGCAGCCGCGGUAAUACGGAGGGAGCUAGCGUUGUUCGGAAUUACUGGGCGUAAAGCGCACGUAGGCGGCGAUCUAAGUCAGAGGUGAAAGCCCGGGGCUCAACCCCGGAAUAGCCUUUGAGACUGGAUUGCUUGAAUCCAGGAGAGGUGAGUGGAAUUCCGAGUGUAGAGGUGAAAUUCGUAGAUAUUCGGAAGAACACCAGUGGCGAAGGCGGCUCACUGGACUGGUAUUGACGCU
rnacentral:rRNA from 1 species